rnacentral:rRNA from 1 species
CUUUAGUUACCAUCAUUCAGUUGGGCACUCUAGAGAGACUGCCGAGGACAACUCGGAAGGAAGGGUGGGAUGACGUACAAAUCAUCAUCGCCCCUUAUGUCCUGGGCUACACACGUGCUACAAUGGCUGGUACAAAGAGACGCAAGACCGCGAGGUGGAGCAAAUCUCAAAAACCAGUCCCAGUUCGGAUUGCAGGCUGCAACUCGCCUGCAUGAAGUCGGAGUUGCUAGUAAUCGCAGAUCAGAAUGCUGCGGUGAAUGCGUUCCCGGGUCUU